rnacentral:rRNA from 1 species
GACAGAGGAUGCAAGCGUUAUCCGGAAUGAUUGGGCGUAAAGCGUCUGUAGGUGGCUUUUUAAGUCUGCCGUCUAAUCCCAGGGCUUAACCCUGGACAGGCGGUGGAAACUACCAAGCUGGAGUACGGUAGGGGCAGGGGGAAUUUCCGGUGGAGCGGUGAAAUGCGCAGAUAUCAGGAGGAACACCGGUGGCGAAGGCGGAUCUCUGGGCCGUAACUGACGCUGAGGAGCGAAAGCAUGGGGAGCGAACAGG